GACGAACGCUGGCGGCGUGCUUAACACAUGCAAGUCGAACGGAAAGGCCCUGCUUUUGUUGGGUGCUCGAGUUGCGAACGGGUGAGUAACACGUGAGUAACCUGCCCUUUACUUUGGGAUAACUUCAGGAAACUGUGGCUAAUACCGGAUAGGAGCUCCUGCUGCAUGGUGUGGGUUGGAAAGUUUCGGCGGUUGGGGUUGGACUCGCGGCUUAUCAGCUUUUUGUUGUGGUAGUGGAUUACCAAGGCGUUGACGGGUAGCCGGACUGAGAGGGUGACCGGCCACAGUGGGACUGAGAAACGGCCAAGACGCAUACGGGAGGCAGCAGUGGGGAAUAGUGCAAAAUGGGCGGAAGCCGGAAGCAGCAACGCCGCGUGCGGGAUGACGGCCUUAGGGGUGUAAACCGUGUUCGACUGGGAAGAAGAGUGAGUGACGGUAAUGGGUAAAGAAGCAACGGCUAACUACGUG
rnacentral:rRNA from 1 species